AUUGAACGCUGGCGGCAGGCUUAACACAUUCAAGUCGAACGAGUGGCGGACGGGUGAGUAAUUCUUGUGAAUCUAGCUUAUGGAGGGGGAUAACUACUGGAAACUGUAGCUCAUCCCGCGUACCAUAGGAUGAGCCCCGAUGGGAUUAGCUAGUUGGUACGGUAAUGGCUCACCAAGGCGACGCUCCCUAGCUGGUCUGAGAGGAUGAUAAGCCACACUGGGACUGAGACACGGUCCAGACUCCUACGGGAGGCAGCAGUGGGGAAUAUUGCACAAUGGGCGAAAGCCUGAUGCAGCCAUGCCGCGUGUAUGAAGAAGGCCCUAGGGUUGUAAAGUACUUUCAGUCGGGAGGCGUUACCGACAGAAGAAGCACCGGCUAACUCCGUGCCAGCAGCCGCGGUAAUUC
rnacentral:rRNA from 1 species